CAGCCGCGCGGGAAUACGGAGGGUGCAAGCGUUAAUCGGAAUUACUGGGCGUAAAGCGUGCGUAGGCGGUUCGUUAAGUCUGUUGUGAAAGCCCCGGGCUCAACCUGGGAAUGGCAAUGGAUACUGGCGAGCUAGAGUGUGUCAGAGGAUGGUGGAAUUCCCGGUGUAGCGGUGAAAUGCGUAGAGAUCGGGAGGUACAUCAGUGGCGAAGGCGGCCAUCUGGGACAACACUGACGCUGAGGCACGAAAGCGUGGGGAGCAAACAGGAUUAGAUACCCGCGUAGUCCCUGUCUCUUAUACA
rnacentral:rRNA from 1 species